AGUGAACGCUGGCGGUAGGCCUAACACAUGCAAGUCGAACGGCAGCACAGUAAGAGCUUGCUCUUACGGGUGGCGAGUGGCGGACGGGUGAGGAAUACAUCGGAAUCUACUUUUUCGUGGGGGAUAACGUAGGGAAACUUACGCUAAUACCGCAUACGACCUACGGGUGAAAGCAGGGGAUCUUCGCACCUUGCGCGAUUGAAUGAGCCGAUGUCGGAUUAGCUAGUUGGCGGGGUAAAGGCCCACCAAGGCGACGAUCCGUAGCUGGUCUGAGAGGAUGAUCAGCCACACUGGAACUGAGACACGGUCCAGACUCCUACGGGAGGCAGCAGUGGGGAAUAUUGGACAAUGGGCGCAAGCCUGAUCCAGCCAUACCGCGUGAGUGAAGAAGGCCUUCGGGUUGUAAAGCCCUUUUGUUGGGAAAGAAAAGCAGCAGGUUAAUACCCCGAUGUUCUGACGGUACCCAAAGAAUAAGCACCGGCUAACUUCGUG
rnacentral:rRNA from 1 species